rnacentral:rRNA from 1 species
GUCGCGUGAUAGGAGAGCGUUCUAAGGGCGGUGAAGCAAGAUCGUGAGGACUUGUGGAGCGCUUAGAAGUGAGAAUGCCGGUAUGAGUAGCGAAAGAUAGGUGAGAAUCCUAUCCACCGAAUGACUAAGGUUUCCUGGGGAAGGCUCGUCCUCCCAGGGUUAGUCGGGACCUAAGUCGAGGCCGAGAGGCGUAGACGAUGGAUAACAGGUUGAGAUUCCUGUACUAGUUAAGUGCGUUUGAGCAAUGGAGGGACGCAGGAGGCUAAGAUGUGCAUUCUGUUGGAUUAGAAUGUCCAAGCAGUAAGUCUGGUGAAGAGUCAAAUGCUUUUCACUUUAAGGACAAGCUGUGAUGGGGAGCGAAAUUUAGUAGCGAAGCGUCUGAUGUCACACUGCCGAGAAAAGCUUCUAGUGAGUACUUAACUACCCGUACCGCAAACCGACACAGGUAGUCGAGGAGAGAAUCCUAAGGUGAGCGAGUGAACUCUCGUUAAGGAACUCGGCAAAAUGACCCCGUAACUUCGGGAGAAGGGGUGCUGAUCGCAAGAUCAGCCGCAGUGAAUAGGCCCAGGCGACUGUUUAUCAAAAACACAGGUCUCUGCAAAAUCGUAAGAUGACGUAUAGGGGCUGACGCCUGCCCGGUGCUGGAAGGUUAAAAGGAUGGGUUAGCUUCGGCGAAGCUCAGAAUUGAAGCCCCAGUAAACGGCGGCCGUAACUAUAACGGUCCUAAGGUAGCGAAAUUCCUUGUCGGGUAAGUUCCGACCCGCACGAAAGGCGUAACGAUCUGGGCACUGUCUCAACGAGAGACUCGGUGAAAUUAUAUUGUCCGUGAAGAUGCGGACUACCCGCGACAGGACGGAAAGACCCCAUGGAGCUUUACUGUAGCUUGAUAUUGAGUGUUUGUACAGCUUGUACAGGAUAGGUAGGAGCCAUAGAAACCGGAACGCUAGUUUCGGUGGAGGCGUUGGUGGGAUACUACCCUCGCUGUAUGACCACUCUAACCCGCACCACUAAUCGUGGUGGGAGACAGUGUCAGGUGGGCAGUUUGACUGGGGCGGUCGCCUCCUAAAAAGUAACGGAGGCGCCCAAAGGUUCCCUCAGAAUGGUUGGAAAUCAUUCGCAGAGUGUAAAGGCACAAGGGAGCUUGACUGCGAGACAGACAGGUCGAGCAGGGACGAAAGUCGGGCUUAGUGAUCCGGUGGUACCGUAUGGAAGGGCCAUCGCUCAACGGAUAAAAGCUACCCUGGGGAUAACAGGCUUAUCUCCCCCAAGAGUCCACAUCGACGGGGAGGUUUGGCACCUCGAUGUCGGCUCAUCGCAUCCUGGGGCUGUAGUCGGUCCCAAGGGUUGGGCUGUUCGCCCAUUAAAGCGGUACGCGAGCUGGGUUCAGAACGUCGUGAGACAGUUCGGUCCCUAUCCGUCGCGGGCGUAGGAAAUUUGAGAGGACCUGUCCUUAGUACGAGAGGACCGGGAUGGACAUACCUCUGGUGUACCAGUUGUGCCGCCAGGCGCAUCGCUGGGUAGCUACGUAUGGAUGUGAUAAACGCUGAAAGCAUCUAAGUGUGAAACACACCUCGAGAUGAGAUUUCCCAUUCCUUUAUGGAAGUAAGACCCCUGAAAGAUGAUCAGGUAGAUAGGUUAGAAGUGGCAGUGCGGUGACGCAUGAAGCGGACUAAUACUAAUCGGUCGAGGACUUAACCAA